rnacentral:rRNA from 1 species
GACGAACGCUGGCGGCGUGCCUAAUACAUGCAAGUCGAGCGAGACUCUUCGGAGUCUAGCGGCGGACGGGUGAGUAACACGUGGGCAACCUGCCUGUAAGACUGGGAUAACACCGGGAAACCGGUGCUAAUACCGGAUAAUCCUUUUCCUCUCAUGAGGAAAAGCUGAAAGUCAGUUUCGGCUGACACUUACAGAUGGGCCCGCGGCAAAUUAGCUAGUUGGUGAGGUCACGGCUCACCAAGGCGACGAUGCGUAGCCGACCUGAGAGGGUGAGCCGCCACACUGGGACUGAGAAACGGCCCAGACUCCUACGGGAGGCAGCAGUAGGGAAUCCUCCACAAUGGACGAAAGUCUGAUGGAGCAACGCCGCGUGAGCGAUGAAGGCCUUCGGGUCGUAAAGCUCUGUUGUUAGGGAAGAACAAGUACCGGAGUAACUGCCGGUACCUUGACGGUACCUAACCAGAAAGCCACGGCUAACUACGUGCCAGCCGCCGCGGUAAAAC